rnacentral:rRNA from 1 species
AUACGUAGGUGGCAAGCGUUGUCCGGAAUUACUGGGCGUAAAGAGCUCGUAGGUGGUUUGUCGCGUCGUCUGUGAAAUUCCGGGGCUUAACUCCGGGCGUGCAGGCGAUACGGGCAUAACUUGAGUACUGUAGGGGAGACUGGAAUUCCUGGUGUAGCGGUGAAAUGCGCAGAUAUCAGGAGGAACACCGGUGGCGAAGGCGGGUCUCUGGGCAGUAACUGACGCUGAGGAGCGAAAGCAUGGGUAGCGAACAGGAUUAGAUACCCUGGUAGUCCAUGCCGUAAACGGUGGGCGCUAGGUGUAGGGGUCUUCCACGACUUCUGUGCCGUAGCUAACGCAUUAAGCGCCCCGCCUGGGGAGUACGGCCGCAAGGCUAAAACUCAAAGGAAUUGACGGGG